rnacentral:tRNA from 1 species
GAGGGUAUAGCUCAGUGGUAGAGCAUGUGCUUAGCAUGCAUGAAGUCCUGGGUUCAAUCCCCAGUACCUCCA